GGGCGGUUAGCUCAGCGGUAAGAGCAUCCGGUUUACACCCGGAAGGUCCAGCGUUCAAAUCGCUGACCGCCCACCA
rnacentral:tRNA from 1 species